rnacentral:rRNA from 1 species
GUCUAUGGCCAUACCACCCUGAACGCGCCCGAUUUCGUCUGAUCUCAGAAGCUAAGCAGGGUCGGGCCUGGUUAGUACCUGGAUGGGAGAAGUUGACUCAUCUCUU